rnacentral:rRNA from 1 species
CAGUAGCCACGGUAAUACGUAGGGUGCAAGCGUUAAUCGGAAUUACUAGGCGUAAAGCGUGCGCAGGCGGUUUGUUAAGACAGAUGUGAAAUCCCCGGGCUCAACCUGGGAACUGCAUUUGUGACUGGCAAGCUAGAGUCUGGCAGAGGGGGGUGGAAUUCCGCGUGUAGCAGUGAAAUGCGUAGAUAUGCGGAGGAACACCGAUGGCGAAGGCAGCCCCCUGGGCCAACACUGACGCUCAUGCACGAAAGCGUGGGGAGCAAACAGGAUUAGAUACCCGCGUAGUCCCUGUCUCUUAUAC